GGCCUCUGAUCCUCCAGCCAAUCAGAGCGCGGGCUUUGUGUGACUGAAGAUUGAGCUUCACCCAGAGUAAAACUUCCUCCUGUGUCCAAAAUCUGAGACAGCCUGUGGGAAACAGAUCCCAGAGUCUCCAGAGUGAGUUUGUGUGAUUCGAGUGGGACGGCAAGUGAGUGAGUCGGCCAGCAGAUAGAUGAUGAUGUUGUGAAUGAACAAGAAACAUUCAGGAUAUUAGAAGGGGAGGAUUUGCUGACAGAAAUCUCAAACCAAGCAUCAUGUCAAGAUCUGACAGACUCACUCGACUCACCAGGACCUGAAUAUGAUGAGCCUUUGAAUCUAGAAGGAGAAAUGUUAAAAACAAAAAAACUGCGGAUGCUGGAAAUCCAAAACUAAAACAGAAUUACCUGGAAAAACUCAGCAGGUCCGGCAG